GUGAAAGACUCGACGGGGUGGCCAGCGAAGCAGCUGCACAGAAACUAAGGGGGCGCGUUGGAACAACUGUCACAUUAAAAGUUCACAGUUUUGAUGAGUUGGGGAGUCCUUGUAUUAGAGAGGUUAGGAUGCCUCGCGAAGUGAUCAACCUUUCACCCGUUUCUAGCACCAUCAUUCUCCACAGAGCACCUGAUGGUCAUGUAUCAAAAACUGGAUAUGUAAAG